rnacentral:rRNA from 1 species
GGGUUGUGAGGUUAAGCGACUAAGCGUACACGGUGGAUGCCCUGGCAGUCAGAGGCGAUGAAGGACGUGCUAAUCUGCGAUAAGCGUCGGUAAGGUGAUAUGAACCGUUAUAACCGGCGAUUUCCGAAUGGGGAAACCCAGUGUGAUUCGUCACACUAUCAUUAACUGAAUCCAUAGGUUAAUGAGGCGAACCGGGGGAACUGAAACAUCUAAGUACCCCGAGGAAAAGAAAUCAACCGAGAUUCCCCCAGUAGCGGCGAGCGAACGGGGAGCAGCCCAGAGCCUGAAUCAGUGUGUGUGUUAGUGGAAGCGUCUGGAAAGGCGUGCGAUACAGGGUGACAGCCCCGUACACAAAAAUGCACAUACUGUGAGCUCGAUGAGUAGGGCGGGACACGUGGUAUCCUGUCUGAAUAUGGGGGGACCAUCCUCCAAGGCUAAAUACUCCUGACUGACCGAUAGUGAACCAGUACCGUGAGGGAAAGGCGAAAAGAACCCCGGCGAGGGGAGUGAAAAAGAACCUGAAACCGUGUACGUACAAGCAGUGGGAGCACGCUUAGGCGUGUGACUGCGUACCUUUUGUAUAAUGGGUCAGCGACUUAUAUUCUGUAGCAAGGUUAACCGAAUAGGGGAGCCGAAGGGAAACCGAGUCUUAACUGGGCGUUAAGUUGCAGGGUAUAGACCCGAAACCCGGUGAUCUAGCCAUGGGCAGGUUGAAGGUUGGGUAACACUAACUGGAGGACCGAACCGACUAAUGUUGAAAAAUUAGCGGAUGACUUGUGGCUGGGGGUGAAAGGCCAAUCAAACCGGGAGAUAGCUGGUUCUCCCCGAAAGCUAUUUAGGUAGCGCCUCGUGAAUUCAUCUCCGGGGGUAGAGCACUGUUUCGGCAAGGGGGUCAUCCCGACUUACCAACCCGAUGCAAACUGCGAAUACCGGAGAAUGUUAUCACGGGAGACACACGGCGGGUGCUAACGUCCGUCGUGAAGAGGGAAACAACCCAGACCGCCAGCUAAGGUCCCAAAGUCAUGGUUAAGUGGGAAACGAUGUGGGAAGGCCCAGACAGCCAGGAUGUUGGCUUAGAAGCAGCCAUCAUUUAAAGAAAGCGUAAUAGCUCACUGGUCGAGUCGGCCUGCGCGGAAGAUGUAACGGGGCUAAACCAUGCACCGAAGCUGCGGCAGCGACGCUUAUGCGUUGUUGGGUAGGGGAGCGUUCUGUAAGCCUGUGAAGGUGUGCUGUGAGGUAUACUGGAGGUAUCAGAAGUGCGAAUGCUGACAUAAGUAACGAUAAAGCGGGUGAAAAGCCCGCUCGCCGGAAGACCAAGGGUUCCUGUCCAACGUUAAUCGGGGCAGGGUGAGUCGACCCCUAAGGCGAGGCCGAAAGGCGUAGUCGAUGGGAAACAGGUUAAUAUUCCUGUACUUGGUGUUACUGCGAAGGGGGACGGAGAAGGCUAUGUUGGCCGGGCGACGGUUGUCCCGGUUUAAGCGUGUAGGCUGGUUUUCCAGGCAAAUCCGGAAAAUCAAGGCCGAGGCGUGAUGACGAGGCACUACGGUGCUGAAGCAACAAAUGCCCUGCUUCCAGGAAAAGCCUCUAAGCAUCAGGUAACAUCAAAUCGUACCCCAAACCGACACAGGUGGUCAGGUAGAGAAUACCAAGGCGCUUGAGAGAACUCGGGUGAAGGAACUAGGCAAAAUGGUGCCGUAACUUCGGGAGAAGGCACGCUGAUACGUAGGUGAAGCGACUUGCUCGUGGAGCUGAAAUCAGUCGAAGAUACCAGCUGGCUGCAACUGUUUAUUAAAAACACAGCACUGUGCAAACACGAAAGUGGACGUAUACGGUGUGACGCCUGCCCGGUGCCGGAAGGUUAAUUGAUGGGGUUAGCGCAAGCGAAGCUCUUGAUCGAAGCCCCGGUAAACGGCGGCCGUAACUAUAACGGUCCUAAGGUAGCGAAAUUCCUUGUCGGGUAAGUUCCGACCUGCACGAAUGGCGUAAUGAUGGCCAGGCUGUCUCCACCCGAGACUCAGUGAAAUUGAACUCGCUGUGAAGAUGCAGUGUACCCGCGGCAAGACGGAAAGACCCCGUGAACCUUUACUAUAGCUUGACACUGAACAUUGAGCCUUGAUGUGUAGGAUAGGUGGGAGGCUUUGAAGUGUGGACGCCAGUCUGCAUGGAGCCGACCUUGAAAUACCACCCUUUAAUGUUUGAUGUUCUAACGUGGACCCGUGAUCCGGGUUGCGGACAGUGUCUGGUGGGUAGUUUGACUGGGGCGGUCUCCUCCUAAAGAGUAACGGAGGAGCACGAAGGUUGGCUAAUCCUGGUCGGACAUCAGGAGGUUAGUGCAAUGGCAUAAGCCAGCUUGACUGCGAGCGUGACGGCGCGAGCAGGUGCGAAAGCAGGUCAUAGUGAUCCGGUGGUUCUGAAUGGAAGGGCCAUCGCUCAACGGAUAAAAGGUACUCCGGGGAUAACAGGCUGAUACCGCCCAAGAGUUCAUAUCGACGGCGGUGUUUGGCACCUCGAUGUCGGCUCAUCACAUCCUGGGGCUGAAGUAGGUCCCAAGGGUAUGGCUGUUCGCCAUUUAAAGUGGUACGCGAGCUGGGUUUAGAACGUCGUGAGACAGUUCGGUCCCUAUCUGCCGUGGGCGCUGGAGAACUGAGGGGGGCUGCUCCUAGUACGAGAGGACCGGAGUGGACGCAUCACUGGUGUUCGGGUUGUCAUGCCAAUGGCACUGCCCGGUAGCUAAAUGCGGAAGAGAUAAGUGCUGAAAGCAUCUAAGCACGAAACUUGCCCCGAGAUGAGUUCUCCCUGACCCUUUAAGGGUCCUGAAGGAACGUUGAAGACGACGACGUUGAUAGGCCGGGUGUGUAAGCGCAGCGAUGCGUUGAGCUAACCGGUACUAAUGAACCGUGAGGCUUAACCUUACAACGCCGAAG